rnacentral:lncRNA from 1 species
UUUUUUUUUGUCCACCUGCUCGACAUUCGUUGCAGGUAAUACCCCCUAUUUAUUAAUUGUUGGGGCCAAUAGGAUGAUCUUCUCGCCUGAACCGGAAAUCAUGCAGAUGUGCUCAAUAUAUGAUUCGAUGUCCAAAUGAUUUCGCAGUACUUUUAUUUAGCAGUCCACAUGUGUCCACCUGCUCGACAUUUCGUUGCAUGUAUAUGUGCGUACUUUUUUUUAAUACCCUUUAUUAAUUGUUUUGGCCAACAGGAAGACGAUCUUAUUGCCUGAACCGGAAAACAUGCAUAUGUGCUCAGUAUAUGAUUCGAUGUCCAAAUGAUUUCCACGUAGGCAUGCAUGGCUGGGCAAUUCCUGAUACGGAAAAUAUAAGUAAUAGGUGGAUAAAAUAUAUUUCUUUUUUGUUUGUUAAUUAUAUCAUGACACUUGACAAUAGAGAAUUAGCAUAUCAGAAAUGUCCUACAUGUCAUAUCAAGCAUUAAGUCCAGAUUUCAGCUGUUUGCAGGCUCAUGAAAGCAUCAUGUAUAGCUAAGAGACGAACCACAUGGUUGGUGUAUACUCUAUUUCUUAAUUAGUACAGAAAUUCUUGCAAUUUGGUAAAAUCAAUACUUCAAGCGAAUACGCAUGAACCACAUGGUGUAUUUAUCUUAGUACAGAAAUUCUAGCCAAUUGGUACAAUCAAUACUUCAAACAAAUUUUCUUAGUACAGAAACUCUUGAGCAGAAGACACAUAAAGCACGAAUUUCAUCUAAAGAUUAUUCUCAAUACAGGAUUCAAGAUCUAGAUCUGAAAUAUUGUAGCAUGAUAUCAGUUGUCACAACAGAAUUUUCUUCCUUCCAUUACUCUUUCAAAAGAAGCACAGAGAAUUCCACAGUUCUACAUAUAGAUUAUUGCUAGUGUUCUCGUUUGUGAUUCCCAUGAAUCCGGUGUCAAUCUUAGUGGCCAAAAGAUCUUCCAUCCAGGAAAGCCAUGGGAGAUGGCAAGUGUUCCUUCACAGAAUAGGAAUCGACAUUGUCAUCUAUUGCUGCUGUUUGAUCUGGGAAUGAGUGCUCUAUUUAACAACAAGUAGCCAGUACAUUGUUAUUGUUUUUCCUGCUGGUGAGUCUGUACCACAUUUCACUCAUCUUCCAUAAUCAUAUGCCAAUGUUUUCUGUAACACUUGAAAAGAGAAGGAAAAACACAACAAUUAUUGUCAUAGGAAAGAUGUUGGAAAAAAGGAUUUUCUUCAAGAAAGUGUAAGGAACUAUUUCCAUAACAUGAAUACAGCAUAGGGCCACUGAUUUUGAUUAGAACUAAAUAAACCAUACUAUUAAUGUUCUUCCAUUGACAAAUUCUCAAGCAUUCCUUGAACAUAAAGGAAAAAGCUGCCGAAUUACCAGUUAACCAAUACAACUAUUGCUACUUGUUUAUACACAUGUCUCAACAAUGAUUUAUUUUUUUGUUUGCCAAACAUGAAAGGACUCCAGUUAGCUAGCUGCUAAGUGACACAACCACAAUGCAACACAGAAAAUACCUUUUUCAUUCUCAAUCCCACGUAAGAUUAGGUGGCUAGGGGGAAAUCCAACGGGCCGACAAAAAUAGACACAAAAUGAGUCCGCUUUUUGUCCGUUUGGGUGGUCAGGCGGACUGCCAUGUUCGCUAGUGCACCCCGCGCAUGUGGUCCAUUCUAAAAAAAAUCAAUUUAAAGUAUAUAAAUUUGGCCGCCAAAAGCCCUUUACAUUAAUUAAAAUAAGAAAUAACAAGAAAUUAAAUAAAACCCUAGAUCUAACUGUUAGAGUUAUAAUAUAGGUCAUGUACCCCUUUGUAUUUAUCCCGUUGUAUAAGGGGUUUCCUGCAUAUGUUCCACACCUGUACAUGUAUAUAUAUCGGCCUAUGGCCUCAUGGGAAUACAAGUUGCUUAUUCCUAACAUGGUAUUAGAGCUUUAGGUCUCUUUUUCGCACGCGCAAUUCGUGCUACGAUCCAAUCUCGCCUCGGCGCUGCUGUUGCGUCUCGUCCGCUCCUCCCGCCUCCUCCCGCCCGGCGCUGCCAGGGCAGCUCGCGGUCGCGCCGUCCGCCCCUCCCGCCCGGCCCCUCAGCUCGCGGUCGCGCCGUCCGCCCCUCCCGNNNNNNNNNNNNNNNNNNNNNNNNNNNNNNNNNNNNNNNNNNNNNNNNNNNNNNNNNNNNNNNNNNNNNNNNNNNNNNNNNNNNNNNNNNNNNNNNNNNNNNNNNNNNNNNNNNNNNNNNNNNNNNNNNNNNNNNNNNNNNNNNNNNNNNNNNNNNNNNNNNNNNNNNNNNNNNNNNNNNNNNNNNNNNNNNNNNNNNNNNNNNNNNNNNNNNNNNNNNNNNNNNNNNNNNNNNNNNNNNNNNNNNNNNNNNNNNNNNNNNNNNNNNNNNNNNNNNNNNNNNNNNNNNNNNNNNNNNCCCUCCCGCCGUCCGCCCCUCCCGCCUCCUCCCGCCCGGCGCUGGCAGGGCGGCUCGCGGUCGCGCCGUUUCCUCUCGGUUGCGCCUCCUGCUCCCAGCCACGCGAGGGCAGCGGAGGCAUCGGCUCCGUGCGUGGCUACUCGUGAGCCCCAGCUUCACUUCCCGCGGCCGCCGUUCGUGGACCGCCGUGCGACUCCUUCUCGUCUCCGCUUUACCUCGUGCAAAAAAAAAUGUCUGCUGCAUCGGGCUAUGUUGCUGUCCCUCGCUGUCCGGUGAUCUUCGAUGGUACUAACUACACCGAGGAUGCGGCUAAGCUUGCUGAUGAGGCUGCUGAUCGUGCCUAUGAUGAGAGGGUUUUGGCUUAUGAGGAGGCUCUUCAGACGUGUCAUGGUGCUUUGUCUGUUUACACCCAGUGGCUUGAUGAUGAUGCUCGUGCUGCAGCUGUUCUCACUGCUAGUGUUCUGCCUCAGUUUGCUUCUGAGUUUCUGGGUCUUCCUACUUUCUUCCAGAUGUGGACCUAUCUUCGUCAGCGCUAUGAGCCCUCUGGUGAUGCCUUAUACCUUUCUGUGGUUCGUCAGGAGCAUGCUCUUCAGCAGGGUGACUCUACUGUUGAUGACUUUUAUGCACAGAGUUCUGCUAUCUGGCGCCAGCUUGAUUCUCUUCGCAGUGCUGGUUGUCGUACUUGCCCCUGCUGCCAGGCUGUCCAGGCCGAUUUGGAGUUUCAUCGCGUCUACGAGUUCCUGUCUCGGCUCCGUAAGGAGUUUGAGCCCCGGCGUGCUCAGUUGUUUGCUCGUGGCCGUAUUUCUCUCAUGGAGGCACUUUCAGAGAUUCGUGCUGAGGAGACUCGCCUACGUGGUGCUGGUUUGCUGGAGGUUCCCUCUGUGCUCGCUACUCGGGCUUCUUCCACUCCACCUGCUGCACCGCCCCAUUCUCGCUCGAGUGCUCCGCCGCUCUUGCCCACUCCUUCUGGAGGCUCAGGUCACCGACUACUGCAACAAUGAUGGUCAUAUUGAGUCCCAGUGCUACACAAAGCGGAAACACCUGCGCAAGGCGCGAUCAUCCUCCUCAGGGACUUCGUCAUCUCCCUCGCCAGCUUCAGCCAUUGCUUUGACUGAGUAGGAUAUUCUGAGACUUAAGCGCCUGCUCGCGGCUUCAGGUUCUUCCUCGACGGGUACUGCUGGUUCUGUGACUGAUGCUUCCCGCACUGAGCAACCGCCCUCUACACAGUCAGGUACAUCCCCAUGGGUUCUGGACUCUGGAGCUUCUUUUCAUAUGUCUUCUCAUUCUUCCGCUUUGUCCUCUCUUCGAUCGCUGGAUUCUCCUGUUCAUGUCUUCACUGCUGAUGGUACUCCACUUUCUGUUGCUAGUAGAGGCCAUCUUUCCACUCCUUCUUAUUCUGUUCCUGAUGUUGCUCAUGUUCCUCGACUUACCAUGAAUCUGUUUUCUGCCGGUCAACUUACUGAUUCUGGUUGUCGUGUCAUCCUUGACGUUGACUCUUGUUCUGUCCAGGAUCGUCACACGCACACUCUGGUUGGGGCUGGCCCUCGCCGCCGUGAUUCUCAGGGUCUUUGGGAGUUGGACUGGCUUCAUGUUCCUUCCGCUGCCACCACCAUCGCCAGUCCCUCCGCUGUUGUCGCCUCUGUUACUGGUUCCUUCAAGCAGUGGCAUCAUCGACUUGGUCAUCUGUGUGGUUCUCGGUUAUCGUCUUUAGUUCGUCGAGGUCUUCUGGGGUCUGUCUCAGGAGAUGUCUCUUUAGAGUGUCAGGGUUGUCGUCUUGGCAAGCAGAUUCAGUUACCAUAUCCACAUAGUGAGUCAGUGUCUAAGCGUCCUUUCGAUUUAGUCCAUUCUGAUGUAUGGGGUCCGGCUCCUUUCGCUUCGAAAGAUGGUCAUAAAUACUAUAUUAUUUUCAUCGAUGAUUUUUCUCGUUACACAUGGCUUUAUUUCAUGACUUCACGUAGUGAGGUGUUGUCUAUUUAUAAGCGUUUUGCUGCCAUGGUUCAUACUCAGUUCUCUUCACCCAUUCGUGUUUUUCGUGCUGACUCCGCUGGCGAGUAUAUCUCUAAGAUGUUGCGUGGUGUCCUUGCUGAGCAGGGUACUCUUGCCCAGUUCUCUUGUCCUGGUGCUCAUGCUCAGAAUGGCGUGUCUGAGCGCAAGCAUCGUCACCUUCUUGAGACGGCUCGUGCAAUGAUGAUCGCCGCCUCUCUUCCGCCUCAUUUUUGGGCCGAGGCUAUCUCCACUUCCGCCUAUCUCAUCAACCUUCAGCCGUCCGCUGCUUUGCAGGGUGGUGUUCCUUUUGAGCGUCUUUUUGAUCGUUCUCCUGAUUAUUCGAUGCUUCGCUUGUUUGGUUGUGUUUGCUAUGUUCUUCUUGCCCCUCGCGAACGCACCAAACUGACCGCUCAGUCUGUUGAGUGUGUCUUCUUAGGAUACAGUGAUGAGCAUAAGGGUUAUCGUUGUUGGGAUCCUAUCGGUCGUCGGAUGCGUAUCUCUCAAGACGUGACCUUUGAUGAGUCUCGUCCUUUCUACCCACGCCCAUCUUCCUCGUUUUUUUCAGUGGAGGAUAUCUCUUUCCUCACUUUUCCUGACUAACCUAUCACCCCCGUCGCGCCUGUGCCUAUUCGUUCCACUCCCUCUGCUUCUCCACCCCUCGUCGAUUCGCCGCCACCAUCUUCCCCGGUCUCCUCACCUAGCAUGUCACCGGAUUCUCCACCUUCCUCUCCGGUGACUUCUUCGUCGCCACCCCCCGAUUCUACCUUGGCGAUUCCUCCUUCUCUUGUUCCAUCUUUUCCUCAGCAUUACACUCGUCGUUCACGACCUGUGGAUGCUUCCUUGGAUGAGUCGUCCUCUUCCUCUCAGCCUACUUAUGGCUUGCGUUCUCGUCCUCGUCCGCCUGUUGAUCGCUUUGGAUUUCCCUCCACUGGUGUUGCUGUUCUUGAGCCGACUUCUUACCGUCAGGCUGUUGUUCAUCCUGAAUGGCAGUUUGCGAUGGCAGAGGAGAUUGCUGCUCUUGAACGCACUGGUACCUGGGAUCUUGUUUCUCCUCCUCCCGGAGUCCGUCCCAUCACUUGUAAGUGGGUCUACAAGGUUAAGACUCGCUCCGAUGGUUCUCUUGAGCGUCACAAAGCUCGUCUCGUGGCUCGUGGUUUUCAGCAGGAGCAUGGUCGUGAUUAUGACGAGACUUUUGCUCCUGUGGCCCAUAUGACCACUAUUCGUACACUUCUUGCCGUUGCCUCUGCACGCCACUGGUCUAUAUCUCAGCUUGAUGUUAAGAAUGCCUUUCUUAAUGGUGAGCUGCGUGAGGAGGUGUACAUGCAGCCACCACCUGGGUAUUCUGUUCCUGCUGGCAUGGUGUGUCGUCUUCGUCGCUCUCUCUAUGGCCUUAAGCAAGCCCCUCGUGCCUGGUUUGAGCGUUUUGCCUCUGUGGUCACUACUGCUGGUUUUUCAGCAAGUGCUCAUGAUCCAGCAUUGUUUAUUCACCUUUCUCCUCGUGGCCGGACUCUUCUUCUUCUCUAUGUUGAUGAUAUGGUCAUCACUGGGGAUGACCCCGAGUAUAUUGCCUUUGUAAAGGCCCAUCUUAGUGAGCAGUUUCUUAUGUCUGAUCUUGGACCUCUUCGCUACUUUCUUGGGAUUGAAGUCUCUUCUACCUCUGAUGGCUUUUUUAUAUCUCAGGGAAAGUAUAUACAGGAUCUUCUUGCUCGUGCUGCUCUUACUGACGAGCGCAUUGUUGAGACUCCUAUGGAGCUCAAUGUUCACCUCCGUGCUACUGAUGGUGAUCCUCUCCCUGAUCCGACGCGUUAUCGUCAUCUCGUUGGCAGUCUUGUCUAUCUAGUUGUCACUCGUCCGGACAUCUCUUAUCCGGUUCAUAUUUUGAGUCAGUUUGUCUCUGCUCCCACAUCGGUUCACUAUAGUCAUCUCCUUCGUGUUCUCCGAUAUCUUCGGGGCAUGAUCUCUCACCGUCUAUUCUUUCCUAGCUCCAGUUCUUUACAGCUUCAGGCCUAUGCGGAUGCUACGUGGGCUAGUGAUCCUUCUGAUCGCCGUUCACUUUCUGCUUACUGUGUUUUUCUUGGCGGUUCUCUCAUUGCCUGGAAGACGAAGAAACAGAUUGCAGUUUCCCGUUCGAGUGCUGAGGCUGAGUUGCGAGCCAUGGCUCUUUUGACGGCAGAGGUGACUUGGUUACGGUGGUUACUUCAGGAUUUUGGUGUUUCUGUCACUACACCGACUCUGCUCUUAUUUGACAGUACAGGUGCUAUUAGCAUUGCGCGCGAUCCUGUGAAGCAUGAGCUCACCAAGCAUAUUGGUGUUGAUGCUUUCUAUGUGCGCGCUGCUGUGCAGGAUCAGGUUAUUGCUCUUCAGUAUGUGCCUUCCGAGUUACAGUUGGCGGAUUUCCUGACGAAGGCCCAGACUAGAGCACAACAUGGCUUUUAUCUCUCCAAACUCAGUGUUGUUCCUCCACCAUGAGUUUGAGGGGGGGUGUUAGAGUUAUAAUAUAGGUCAUGUACCCCUUUGUAUUUAUCCCGUUGUAUAAGGGGUUUCCUGCAUAUGUUCCACACCUGUACAUGUAUAUAUAUCGGCCUAUGGUCUCAUGGGAAUACAAGUUGCUUAUUCCUAACACUAACUAGGGUGGGGUCGGAGCAUGCGCGUGAUGGCGCAGGAGCCUACUCCUCGUCCUCGUCGCCGACGAGGCCGAUGAAGGUUGGAGGCGACUAUGGCCACACCGAUGCCGGUGGUUGUGGUGGCCCUACCGCCGACGCGCGCGGUCGCGUAGAUGGUGCCUCCUGCUGCUCCUCCUAGCGUUCCUCGGCUCGGGUGUCGCUGGGAACGUGGAAGUCCAGGUCCACGUCUGCCUCACUAGUCUAUGUAGUGGCCCCGGCUCCGGCGCGGUGGCGGGCAUGGUGGCCUCCAUCGCCGAUGUGUUGAGCGCCAGGGCAGGUCAGGUGAGCUCGGCCAGCUUGAAGGCCACGAGGGCAUGCUUGAGCUCAUCACCGUCAAGCUCCUCCUUCACCAUGGGACCCAGUGGCAGCUCGGAGGCUGGAGGGGCUGGAGCAUGAGUGCAAUUGCGCUGGAGCAUGCGCGAAGCACAAGCGGCAGUGCUAGUUGUGCUCGUUGCUGAACCACGUGUCCCAGUAGGGAGACCCCUAAGUCGGAUCGUGGAGGUCAUCCGCAAGUAGUGCCCGACGGCGGCCGAUCUCCACCGCCCGGGUGCGACCGAAGGCCAGUACAGGAACCCUUUCCUGGUAAGUGCCAGCCGUUCAGCAAGUGCACAUCGGGCUAGGACACCGGGAUGGCCGCCUCCUAGUACCUCUGGUAUGUCUCAACGGGGACGUACCUGCAGUCCCGCCUCGGCAGCACAGGCCCUCGGCGGUGUCAAGGUGAACGUGGCCGUGUGGCACUGCCUCGAGGAGCCAGAUCGUGGUCGUGCUUCCCGAGGGUCCAGUUCCACGGCAUUGCAAAACAUGAAAGGACUUCUGUUAACUAGUGGACCCGUUGAGCCAAAUGGCGCAGAGGCACGCUAAAGCUAUGUCCACGAUGAAAAUAUUUCCAUGGUUUAAUCCCCUCUAAUAGGAAACAUGGUGGAUUGGUAUGUACAAUGAGAUGAAUAUACACAUUUUAACUUGAUAGUAUAGAGUCUCAUUUAAAACAAAAUAUGUCUGGGCAAGCACGUGUGAUAAUAAAUGAAAUAUCAUUUAGCCAAAAAAAAUGUUGUGUUGUUGGGUACAAUGAGAUAAUAUAUACACAUUCUUAUUUGGUUGUAUAAAGUACCAAAUGGCACAGAGACCUGCUGAAUCCAUGUGCACAUGAAAAGAAAAUCAAUGGUUUAGUUGGUUUAGUAGUGGGCAAGCAAAUAUGGCAACAAAUUUAAUCUCCUUUAAGAAAAAACAUGGCUUGUUCUCUACAAUGAGAUUAUACACAUUUUAAUUUGGUAGGAUAGAGUGCGUUCAAAACAAAAUCCAUUAUUAGUUGGUUUAUUAGUUGUGGGCAAGCACAUAUGGCAGAAAAUUUAAUUUUCUUUAAUAGAAAAAUGGUGGCUUGUUAUCUACAUGAGAUGUAUAUACACAUUUUAAUUUGGUAGCAUAGAGCCCCAUUCAAAAUUAUGUCACCUUGAAAAUACGUGUAUUUGUUUAGUAAUCCCUUGUUUGAGCAAAUACAUAUUCUGCUACUAAGAAUAUACGUAUACCUACAGCAUGUGUAAACCAGUUAAGGAGGCCUUUAAUUUUUUUUAAGUAGUGUUUCUAUCAACUUUUUAUUGUGCCUAUGUGUGAAAAAACAUAGGAAGUUGCUGAAUAGUUUGUAGGAUUGUCGUCUUGGUUCCUAAUGAAUGCUAAUUGUAGAACGUGAUAAACCAUUGAACUCUUCUAUUAUCAAUUAGUCAUUAUAAUAUAUCGACAAUUUCAAGGACUCUUCAGAUUAUAAGAGAAAACCCACAUAGGUCAGAAAUGCACAGGAAUUCAAAAAAAAGGCAUGAAAAUGAGCUAGGCAGUAUGUAAAAAUUCAUGUGAAACUGAGACAUAGGAAAGCAUACAUAAGAAUUUUGCAGGAUCAUUCGUACGAUAUGGAGGACCAUUAUAGCCAAAUUUACAUAAGGUUUCUAAGAAAAUCUUUUGAAACUCGGACCAUCCAGAUAUAUCAACAUGGAAAAGCCUGCUGAAAGAAACUUCUGCAGCUGAAGAUGCCUAAUUAUACUUCCUAUGGGCUUCUUUUGAAAAGAAAAUUUUUGGCAUGCCAAGAAAAGAUCAUGAAAACUACUGUACACGAGUCCAAGAAAUUAUCCAAUGCAGAGAUGCAGUUACAGUUGCAACUUCAAGCAGAUUUUGUAACUACAUUUUUUUAUCAGGUGAAAAUAAGCAUAACAAUAGCACCAUUGGUGCCUUUCGUGCUGGACAAAAUAACAUGCAAAUCAAAAUCUGUAUAAAUUUACUCCUGAUCAUGGCCCUAUGGGCGACAGUUGCAAAAUCUAAGUAUGAUCCAUGAGAAGGUGCACCCAAUUUUAACUACUUGGCAUAAAAUAGCGUAAGUUCAUCAUCUAACAACAGUAUACUAAAGAGGUAAACAAUCAUAGAAGAGAUUAUGUGUGCAGAUAUGAUGAUAUAUAAGUCUAUUCGAUUAUUCUAUUUGAUGUGAUGAUAUGAAGUGCACGAUCGAAUCGUCUCUUUCUUUUCUCAAAGCAAAUAACACCACGAUCAUCUCCAGUAAGAAGUGCACACAAGAAUCAUGCCUCGGUAUAUACAAAAACUCGACUCAAAGAGCAUUGUAUUGGGUUCUUUAACCUGCCCCACAAAACCUGCACUAUAAUUCUUAGAGAGAUGGGUUGAAAGAAGAAGGCAAGUAACCUACAACCAAAUACGGUGACAUAAUUGCUAGUGAGGCCUGAGGGUGCUAUAAUUGCUAGUCAGGAUUCAAGAGCAACAAAUGUGAAAAGCUCCUUUUUCUAUCUCCAGGUUUCACGAUCAAUAUUUUCUACCCCAAGACCAUGCCAAAAACAUUACUACUCUUUUGCACAUCUAAAAUCCUUUGCCGGACCAGAACAUUGUGCAAACUAUAUCUCCACACCAGUGGGUGCUCCUCUUCUACGUGCGCGCACAAGGAUGCGACCUCGUGGUCCUUGUAGCAGUAGGGUAGGCGAACUCGGUCUGACCGCCUUCUCGCCUUCCAUGUCCAGCUCCUCCAUUUCUAACCUCCUAGCAAGAACUUUAAGGCAUGUCGGCCAAAUUUACAAAUUUGUAAUAUUCAAGCAUACUAACUGAAGGAGCUCCUUAAAGAAAAUGGAAAGAACAACUUGAAAACUGAGUGUCAUUUGUGCGGAAGUUCACAGAAUAAAUAGGAGACGAUAAUUUCCAACAGGAGAAAGAGGAUAGCCUAAAGGAGGAUAGGUUGAUAGCACUGCUUAAUUUAGUUACCCAGUCAAUUUAUUUCUGGACUUAACCAGCCUCUUAAUCAUCCUGACAUUAUGUGCAUGCCAUUAUAUUCCUGCCUUCCACAGCAUAUUAGCAUCAUUUAUAUCUAGCAUUGUCCUACUCUUACGUUCAGCAGCAUUUUCUAAAGAAGUACAGAAGGCAAAAAAUUAGCAGUAGCUAUACACUAACUGCAUAUGGAGAACAAUGAAACAUUAAAAUACCUUAUCUAAAGGAAAAGAGUACAAUUAUAAUACCAUACACAGGCUAUUUAUGGAACACACACUAUGGUGUAGAAGCGAUGGAAAAUUGUUACCUCAGAAAUUUAAUGGAAUGCCAAGAAGUAUUUUCCAAGAUAUAGCUCUAAACACCAUCUUUUCCAGGACUAUAGCUAGAGGCCCUGAAAUGAGAAGGUGGUAAGCAGAGUAAGCAACAAUUUUAUUUUGGAGAAUAGCUUGUUUAUCAGCCAUUACAUGCAGUUGAGGCAAUGUCAUGGUGUAAUUCUCUUGCUGUCAAGUGCUUGUGAGAUAGCCCUUUAUAAACCCGAUGUAUCAUGAAAUUUUGAAUGAUUAACUGAAAGCAGACAGAGAAUACAAAACUGACGCUUUCUGAAUAUAUUUCAUGUCCUCUGGAUAAAAAACUUAUACACAAACCAUCUGAAUCAAUUUUUGCAAAAUAUUAUAUGUAGAAAAAUGAUCUGAAUGUUGAAGAGUAACAAACACGUAAAUUAGAGGCCUAAAUCUGCAAGGAUUUUAAUUAUUUUGUGAGGAAUACUUCCAAACCUUCUAUUCCGAAAUCACUAAAUAUUGCAAUAGGAAAAAAUGCAUGGAUAAAAAGCUUGCCUCAGACAUCUCAUACUCUUUUCGAAGACCUAAAUCUAAAAUACAUAUCGCUAGUGAUUCUGUUCUCAAAUCAAAUCAAAUCAAAUAAAUAAGAGACAAAGGGGCAGAGAAAGAGAUAGAUGAACCAGGGCACGCGGCCAACGGUGAGGAGGGUGCCGAAAGAGAGUGAGAGGAAUGGGAGGGAGAGAGGGGAGGAGGGCGGCUGCACCAUUUGGUCUACUCGCUCCUCUGCACUUACCCAGCUGGGUUCUGGUCCAAGCCAGAGAAGAGCAGCCGCCGUUUGAGGCGCCCGCGUCUGCCCCUACUGCUCCUUGCGCCCCACGCAGGCCUGAGAAGUAGAAAGAGAGGAGGCCGCAUUUAAAUGCUUGAUGGUGCGGCGCGAACUCGGGUGUAGCGCCAGGCAGCAGACGCACAUGCUCUCGCACGACGGGAGAAACAGAAACUUCACUUCCCGAUAAGUGAAUCAUAGCAGGAAGCCAACUAUAAAUUGGCAAAAAGAUCAUUAUCCAUUAGUUUUUUCUGCGGUUGAUUUGAGACAAAAAAAUAGAGGCGAUACCAGCUGCACUUCGGCAUCCUUAACUUCUCGACACUUGUUCAUGUUUUGAUUCAUUUAGGUUGGCUAUCUUCUUGCUGCUUGAGAGUUUGAUAGCAAACUCUGCAAUGCAUCAAAAAAAUAUUACACCUGGUAAGAAAACAAACCUCUAUUGUCUUAUAGUCGAAGAACAUGUUUGCAUCGACAAAAAAUACAAAAACACUAAAAUUUGACGGUGUUAGGAACUUGCAGUGAUAUACUGAGCCAUAAACUACUUGCAUUGAUACACUGAACCAUAAACUGCACACAAACCAGAUAGCACUUGAAGAAAAGUCAGCAAUAUUACAUGCAUUAGAAAGCAAGUGAACUGUUGACUGGAAAACGGAGUUUUCUAACAGGCUGCACCACAAAUGUUUUAAUAACAUGAGAAUCCAUACCAAAGGGAACUUUUCUAGCCUAUGUUUUAUUGAGAGCAGUACACAUAAACAGAGGAACUUCCUAUGAUAAACCAAAUCUAUCUAUAAUCUAUAACUAACUAAUAAUAAAGGGGCUAUUGCUUCCGGCAGUACGUCAAGAAAAUUGACCUCAAAGUUGCAAAAUAUUACCCAUCAAUGCUAUCUAUAAGUGAUAAAGAAACGUUUCAGACAGAGUAAUCCUCUGCCUGGGCCGUCCAUGCAGUAGCGACCUUCUAUACUGCAUGCUGCGGGCUGGGAGAAGAUGUAGCGCGCCAGUUUGGGCCGGCCCAUGACGGGCUGCCUAUUUUAUAUAUUUCCGUUCUUAUUUUUUAUUUUACUUUCUUUUUAUUUUUUCUACUUUAAAUAAUCUGGGACUUCAAAAAAGUUCUGAAAAAAUAAAAAUGAGAAUUACGAAAUAAAUGUUUUAAUAAAUCAUAAAAUGUUUGUGGAUUCAAAAAAAUGUUAGUGAUUUUGUAAUAACAAAUUAGCAAUUUUGAGAACAAAUGUUCGGGAAAUCACAAAUUCAUGAUUUUCUAAAAAGUUCACGUACUAAUAAAUGUUCAUGAAAUUGAACAAAUUUCGACAAUUCAAAAAAUGUUCAUGAAUGAAAAUAUAUCCUAAAAAUUGAUAAAAUGUUCUCGACAUACAAAAUAGUUUAUUAUUUUAUGAAACAUUUACUGAUUUAAAAAAUGAUCAUGCAUUUCAAAAAAUGUUCGUUAAAUCAAAAAAAUGUUUUUCAAUUUUAAAAAUGGUCCCACCAAUUUCCAAACAAUUGUUCUUCAAUUCUAGAAAUGUUCGCCGAUUCAAGAAAAUUGUUCAGAAAAUUUAAAAAAAUUCUUGAUGUUUGCAAAUAGUAUAAAAUGUUCAUGAAUUCAAAAAAGUUCUUGAUUUUAGAAAACGUUUGAAAAUUUGUAAAAGUGUUCAUGAAUUUGAAAAAUGUUCAUGAGUUUAAAAAAAUUUCACGGUUUCAAAAAUUGCCCAUGAUUUCAGGAAAUUGAGAGUGAUAGUGUAUCUCAGUGAUGAAGCAAAAUAUGGUCAUGGCCAUUUGAGAUUAUGGUUUUUUUUCUCCCGUUGCAACGCACGGGCACUUUUGCUAUUAUUUUAAUCGAAUGAAGAAAAUAACAGAAUAAUUUCUAUUUGUUGAAGAAUAUAUACCUGUGACCUCUCUGUAUCCUUUCAUAUAUUCAACUGAUUAACACACGCAAAUCCUAGGAAAAAGAACAAAUAGAAAGGAGGUCAGCCAUUGAUGCUCUAAGCUCCUAAGAGCAUAGCCAUGUAGCACUUGAUCUAUGCCUUCAACACCAAUAAAGAGAAAAUUAUAGAGAUAGAGAGUUUUGUGAUAAGUCGAGAAUCGGACCAAGGAAACUAAUUUAGCUGCCCACCAAGUAGAAAAAUCUAGUGAAGUGAUACCCUUGCUGCUGCAAUCUUCCGCACUUAUUUGGAGAACCUACUUCCCUUACAGUACUACAGAAAAUAAUAUCAAUUCAUUAUGGUUAUUUGCUGCUGAAACAAAACUGAUGGCUAGAAACAAGAGUGAUGUCUAUAGAGAACUGAGAUAGGUGUAGUGCCAUUAACUAUUAUAAAGGAAGGAAAUAACAAUGAACCAUGCUUAUCAAUCAGCCUAUAGCUACAAGGCCAAGCGCCUCAUCGACUAUCUGCACAAGCACACCCCAACCUACAUUGGAGUAAUGGAGCUCAUAUUAGCUUCCCUCGGAACAAAUAGUUGAUUUUUCUGAACUAAUAUGCAUAAAAAUGCCCACUUAAUAUAUCUGUAAGAAGUUGGAUUCAGGCCUCGUUUUGGUGCUCAAUCAUAAUUAUGCCACUGAACUGUGUAUUAUAUACCUGUAAAAAGUUGAAAGGCACGUAAAAUAAAAAUUCAGGUCUCAUUUUGGUUCUCAAUCAUCGGAGGAUUGUUCAACAUAUUUCAGUUUUGGAAUACGAUGUCUAUGUAAUAUAGCAAAUUCUACACACCUCAAGGAAGGAGCAUGCAAUCCUCUCAAUUACCAAACGAAAAAGGACCAACAAAAAAACAAAAGAGGGAAGCUCAGAGACAAACCUCAACUGGCUGCAUGAAACAAUGGCCAAUCGGUCAAAAGGAGAUCUGCGUCGCCAUUGAGAGCGAGAGAGGGAACUCCACAUCCAUCGAUUAGUUUCUUGGCAUAUCCAGCACCAUCAAGCAGGGGCAACAUCCAGCCACUACAAAGAAGAGCGAUGGGAUAAGACAGAAUACAUGAAGAGAGGGGAAGAAUGAAAGGCAAGGAGGACAAAAGUACCUACGUGCAUCACGAACGCCAAAUCUGGCUGCUGCCAUCGGGGAUGCAACAUCUAGAAUGCCACAUUAUUAUACAUGAAGAUGAAGGAGACCAGCGGGGAGUUGAUCUGGGCUGAGCCGAGCCGCCUCCUGGCUGGAUUCCGCUCCUUCCCUCUUUCUCGGAUCGACGACGUCCAGUCGAGCUCAUCCCUCCUCCCGCGGCUUCCGCGCGAGCUGGGGCGGAUGAGCACCUCGGGAGGCAGUGUAUCGCAUCCGCGCUCCAUCGGCCCCUACUGCUUCCUCCUGCCGGUGGACUCCCCACGGCUUUCCGCCCCCGCUCAGGCCCGACACGGCCGGCAUGGUGCCUAAGGAGGGAUGGGUGUGGCGACUGUCUUGUUGAGGCAGGAGGAGUGAGAGGCACGGCGACCGUGGGGAUCGGCGAGGGGAGAGAGGGAGGAGGGAGGGGCGCAAUAGCCGUGGCCCGUGGGAUCAUAGGAAAGGGGGCUAGAGUUUGUUGCUUCGUGCCAUUGCGGCUGAUGAGUGUUCGCACAUCAACACGUCACCGUGUAUCUCCAUCGCCGAGGGUGAUGCACCGCAGCUCACGUCGAAAGAGACCCGUCCGGAAGCGCGGUACGCAAGCAAUUCAGCAGGUGCUUUUAAGGACCCGAAACCCCACACGCCCGGGAGGGAUCCCGUCAGGGCGCGCGGCGGCUAUGGGCUGCCCUAGGUCGACCUGAUCGCCCCUAGGGACUCGAGGUUCGCCGCCCUGCAAUGAAGAAGAACGAACGAAGAACGAGAAAGAAGAAGAACAAAGGAGAGAGAUGAAAGUGGUAGAUGAUAGAUCGAUUGUGUGUUGUUUAAUCGGCCGUUACCUCUUGUCUAUAUAAGAGGCGGAUGGACUUCCCGUACAACAAAAGGAGUUGCCUUGUCGUUCAAAUCAGCAAAAUCUAGCCAAAUUCGGACUUCUCACGACUUCCGGCCCGGAUGUCCGGCUCUAGGCCCGGAUAAUCCGGCCUAGACCAGUUUUAUGACAGCAGCUCACUGUUUUGACUCUAGAGUCCACAUACGACCUCGGAUUUGGACAAUUUUUAUAUCAAAUCAACCGUCUCGACCAGACACACAACUUUCAUGUUGAACACUUUUCGAUCUGAGGGCAUCUUGAGGGUGUUUCGGGCCGUUUUCUCAAAUCUGCAGCAGAAAAACUCGUCCGGACGUCCGGACGAUUGCCCGGAUUGUCCGGCCUUUACCUAGAUCAUCCGGGACUUGACCCAGAUCAUCCGGCUUCAACUUUUAGCUUCUGUUGUUAUGGUGCCUCGAUUUCCCGGAUGAUCUGGGCCUCGGCCCGGAUGAUCCGGCCAAACAUUGCUGCAGCGUACAGUUUCGGCUGUAACUUUUGCAUACGACCUCGGAUUAAGACGAUUUUUAUAUCAAAAUCGUCCGGCUUCAACGAGGCGAAGAACUUUGCAGUUGUAGCUUUUUCCAUCUGAGACCAUCUUAAUUAUGUUUCAUGCCAUUCUUUAAUCUGACGUCAACACGGGUAUUUCCAAAAUUGUCAUAUCUUUUGGUUUUGAACCAUCUUCAUAUCUAUUUCGAUCAUCUUGAAGAGAGCCGUCAGUUGGUGACAUGAACUCAUAGUUUUAACCUCAUCUCAUUAUAGCCUCAAGCCACUCUUUGCGAUCAUGCCAUUUUCGAGCGUCAACACAUGCCCCCUGUUUUUCGGCAAAGCUUGCGUGUCGAAAAAUAACUUGCAAUACGUUGGUCUAAGGACGAUGUCAACACUCCAUCGGCCAUUUAUAUGCGCUUAGGGCGAUAAUUUCUAUAUCGGCUAUGUUUUUGCUUAGGACGAUAGUUAUAUAUCGGCCACUUUGAUUAGCAACAAAAUACAGCUAAUCGAAUAUAUGGUGGUGAGGUAAAACCCUUGCAUGAUGUAAUAAGUUAUAUUGCGUCCAUGGAUCAAAAUAAGUCCACGGAGGGUAACCAGUCAUACCUGAGGAUGAAUUCCAUGGCAUAUGCAUUAAUGACAUAGUUGAAGAAUAUGGAGGUUGUUUGAAUCGAAGAUUCUGAUGCGCAAACCUUUGGCUUGGUUGUUCGAAGCUUGCACUCUUCUCUUUUUUCACCUUUGCCGCACUUAUUGCAAUGGAAUCUUGCAUAUUAUUCUUGUUUUUAGUACUACCUUUGGGAACCCAUGCCAUGUUCAUCUUUUCAAGUUCUUGUGCACUAAACUUUUGCACUUUCUUCUGUUGCCAAUACGGUAAGCCGAGUGAGCACCCCGGCUGCGAUUUUGUUUGAGGUAAUGGCAAUUCUUGUUUUAUCUUGUGCACUCUCAAUUUCCUCUCUUCAGAUUCGGCACUUGAUUGACUUGCCUCAUUGCCUUUUGUAGCCAAUGUCGACACUUUAAUUGGCUCUUUUUCAUUUGAGAUCAUAUCUGAAGUGGCACUCUUAUGACCAUCUCUUUUGACGCGGUAGACUUGCUCAAACACCUCCUUAUUCUUCCUUGUGCUCCGGACCGAUUCUUUUUUAUUGAAACGGUCUCGAACAUAUGACUGCUCACUGAACGUUGGUCUUCUUGAAGCUGCAUAAUAUUGGUCGGAUGGUUUAUAAUAAUAUGGAGAAUGUGCCCUUGUAUCAUACCUGCCAUAUGAUGGAUAUGAAUUUAUGUGAGCAUAGGGAGGCAUCCACGACAUUGGCAUUGACGGCCCAAAAUAAGGAUAUGAACAUGUUGCAUUCAAAUUCUCUUCUUACCAAUACCGAUCCUUGGAUUUGCGCUUAGGGGGUGCUCUUGAAUUAAUGGGUGAUAAUGCUCUCAUGUAUGCCUCAUAGAUAAUGGUAAGUGAUUCUAUCGAACCAAUUCCACAUGACUGUUGUAUGUGGUUUAUCAUUCUGCGAAGCCAUACACAUUCACAUGUUGCUUCAAAUAAUGAAUUAUUUCAUAAUGAUUGGUAGAUGUUGCCACCAGAGUCUACUUAAAAGACUUCCAUGAUAUAGCAGUACCACCAUGUAGGAACACAAAGCCGGUCUGUGAUAUGGCAUUAUCGGGAUCAAACAAAUGGCCGGCAUCUGCAUAUCCAAUCAUAUCAGAGUCAUGAUUUCUCUGGAACUAGAAAAAUAGGCCAAGAUCCUUUGUGCCUUGGAGAUAUCGAAAGAUAUUCUUCACUCCAGACCAAUGACGUUUGGUGGGAGUUGCGCUAUGUCUAGCAAGUAGAUUUACUGCAAAUGCAAUAUCAGGUCUCGUGCAAUUUGCAAGAUACAUAAGCGCUCCAACGGCACUGAGGUAUGGAACUUCAGGUCCCAACACCUCUUCUCCAUCACCCCUUGGCCUGGACGGAUCUUUCUCUAUGUCUAGAGGUCGAACCACCACAGGAGUUUUAGACAGAUAGGAUUUGUCCAUAUUGAAUUUCUUCAAUAUUUUAUGGAUAUAGGCAGCUUGGUGUACCAUGAUUCCUGAGGGAAGGUGCCCAAGUUGAAUACCUAAGCAAAAUUUGGUUUUACCUAAAUCCUUCAUCUCAAAUUCCAUCUUUAGGUGAUUGUGUGCUUCAUGAAUGUCUGGUGUGCUGCCAAUGAUGUUGAGAUCAUCAACGUACAUAGAAAUGAUGCAAAAUCCUGUAGAGGGCUUCUUGAUGAAAAUACAUGGGCAAUCACUACUAUUGGAGUAACCUUUCUGAAGAAGGAACUCACUGAGUCGGUUGUACCACAUCCAUUUCGACUGCCUUAAGCCAUAUAAUGACUUAUUCAGCUUUACACAAUACAUGUUGCGAUUUGCACUUUUAUUCGGGAACCUUCAUAUAUAUGUCUAAAUCUAAUGACCCGUAAAGAUAUGUGGUCACGACGACCAUCAACUGCAUAGAUAGACGAUUUUGCACUACCAAAGAUAUAAGAUAUCAGAAAGUGGUUCCACUCAUUAGUGGGGAGUAUGUUUCAUUGAAAUCAAUGUCGGGUUUCUGCGUGAAACCUUGUGCUACGAGACUCGCUUUAUAUCUCACCACCUCAUUGUUUUCAUUCUGUUUCCGGAGAAUCCCACAGGGAAAACACUGGGAGGUGUCGGUAUUGCUUCAGUGAAUACCUUUCUAUUGUUAAGCGAGGCAAUUUCUGCUUGGAUUGCAUUCUUCCAUUUAGGCCAGUCGGAGUGCUUUUGGCACUCAACGAUAGUCCUUGGAUCAUGAUUAGUGAGAAGGAUAUCUGCAAUCUUUUCAGCAAAAUAUAUGUCGACAGUCGUAGUCUUACGGUCAAAUGAUUCUCCAGAAUCAACAUAGUUGACGGAAAUUUCCUGCACCCAUGAUUUCCCAAUACGAUUGAGUCAGGGUGUUCUGAUGUCCCAGUCAGUUUGUGCACCGAGCUGGGUUGUGGAGAUUUCCCUUCCACUGGGUGUAUACUACCCAUCAGGUGUUUGUCAACGUUGAGUUGACCUACAUUUACUGACUCUGAGGUUUUUCUCCUCAAUUUCCUUUGCUGCUUGCUAGAAGUUUGCUCCAGGUCAGAGGUUGUACUACUCCCCCUCUUUUUAGGAACAGAGAGUUGAGUGGUUUUUAUUGGUACCUCCACUCUGUUGGGCACAUUUCUGGCCGGAUUUAAGGAUUUUGUAACACUUCAGAUCAGUAAAUGAAUCUGGCAGAUUAUUUGCAAGAUGUUGCAAAUUAAUGAUCUUCCGAACUUGAAGUUCGGUCUCUUGGGUACAUGGAUUAGAGGAUGAAAUGGCAUGAGCAUUCCAAUCAAUUUCAGGGCAUUCUUUCUGGUACUUGAAUUCUCCCCCUAAUGCCGAAAAAUGUUCCUCAUUAAAUAUGCAACCAGCGUGACGGGUUGUGAACAGAUCCCCAGUCAGGGGUUCUAGUGUGACGCCCCCGAUUUGACCGUACACUAAUCAUGCACGCAAUGUGUACGACCAAGAUCAGGGACUCACGGGAAGAUAUCACAACACAACUCUAAAACAUAAAUAAGUCAUACAAGCAUCAUAAUACAAGCCAGGGGCCUCGAGGGCUCGAAUACAAGUGCUCGAUCAUAGACGAGUCAGCGGAAGCAACAAUAUCUGAGUACAGACAUAAUUUAAACAAGUUUGCCUUAAGAAGGCUAGCACAAAGGUAGCAACGAUCGAAAAGGCAAGGCCUCCUGCCUGGGACCUCCUAACUACUCCUGGUCGUCGUCAGCGGCCUGCACGUAGUAGUAGGCACCUCCAGUGUCGUAGGUGUCGUCGUCGACGGUGGCGUCUGGCUCCUGAACUCCAACAUCUGAUUGCGACAAUCCGGUAUAGAAAGGGGAAAAGAGGGAGAAAAGCAACCGUGAGUACUCAUCCAAAGUACUCGCAAGCAAGGAGCUACACUACAUAUGCAUGGGUAUAUGUGUACAGGGGCAUAUCAGUGGACUGAACUGCAGAAUGCCAGAAUAAAAGGGGGAUAGCUAGUCCUGUCGAAGACUACGCUUCUGGUCAUCUCCAUCUUGCAGCAGGUAGAAGAGAGUAGAUUGAAGUCCUCCAAGUAGCAUCGCAUAGCAUAAUCCUACCCGGCGAUCCCCUCCUCGUCGCCCUGUUAGAGAGCGAUCACCGGGUUGUAACUGGCACUUGGAAGGGUGUAUUUUAUUCAGUAUCCGGUUCUAGUUGUCAUAAGGGCAAGGUACAACUCCGGGUCGUCCUUUUACCGAGGGACACGACUAUUCGAAUAGAUAAACUUCCCUGCAGGGGUGCACCACAUAACCCAACACGCUCGAUCCCAUCUGGCCGGACACACUUUUCUGGGUCAUGCCCGGCCUCGUAAGAUCAACACGUCGCAGCCCCACCUAGGCUCAACAGAGAGGUCAGCACGCCGGUCUAACCCUAUGCGCGCAGGGGUCUGGGCCCAUCGCCCUAUGCACACCUGCACGUUGCGUACGCGGCCGGAAGCAGACCUAGCCUAGUGGCGUUCCAGUCCAAUCCGGCGCGCGCCACUCAGUCGCUGACGUCAAAAGAGCUUCGGCUGAUACUACGACGUCGGGAUACCCAUAACUACUCCCACGUAGAUGGUUAGUGCGUAUAGACCAAAUGGCCAGACUCAGAUCAAAUACCAAGAUCUCGUUAAGCGUGUUAAGUAUCCGCGAACGCCGACCAGAGCCAGGCCCACCUCUCCCCUAGGCGGUCUCAACCUGCCAUGUCGCUCCGCCACAAAGAUCCACUUGCGGGUACUCCUACGAGCCGACCCGACUUUAGUCAUCACAUGUGUCAUGUAUAUAGUAUUUAAGUAUAUGCCCGUGUUCACCGCCCAGGUGAUCACGGCCCGAUAGUAUAGCACAACAGACGGACAAGAAUGUAGGGCCACUGAUGGAAAUCUAGCAUCCUAGACUAAGCAUGUAGGAUUGCAGGUAAAGGUAGCAACAAUAGUAGCAAGGAUAGGCUAUGCAUCAGAAUAGGAUAUCGAAAGUAGUAACAUGCUACACUACUCUAAUGCAAGUAGUAGAGAGUAGAGUAGGCGAUAUCUGGUGAUCAAGGGGGGGGCUUGCCUGGUUGCUCUGGCAAGUAGGAGGGGUCGUCGACUCCGUAGUCGGACUGGGCAGCAGCAGUGUCGGUCUCGUAGUCUACCGGAGAGAAGAGGGGGGAAGAAACAGUAAAUACAAUGCAAACAUAAGCAUGACGAUGCGUGACAUGUCAAUGAGCGGUGCUAGGGGUGUCCUAACGCGACAGUAGGUGGUACCGGUGAAGGGGGGGGACAUCCGGGAGGUAUGCCCGAUGUUUCGCGUUUUCGGACAGACGGACCGGGGGGGAAAGUUGCUAGUUCGAUAGGUUAGGGAGGUGUGGUGGACGAACGGACUGCGUAUUCGGAUUCGUCUCGUCGUUCUGAGCAACUUUCAUAUAGAAAACAUUUUCAUCCGAGUUACGAUUUAAAAGAUAUGAAUUUUCAAAGUUUAUUUGAAUUUCUGGAAUUAUUUAAUUAACAGAAAAAGGGAUAUGACGUCAGCAUGACGUAGGAGUGACGUCAGCGGUCAACAGUCCGGGUUGACUGGUCAAACUGACACGGGGGACCCACCUGUCAUAGACAGUGGGUUAACAGAGGAUUAAAAUAAUUAGUUUUUAGCUAACUAACUACUAGGCCCACCUGUCAGUGAGAGAUUAAUUAAACUAAUUAUUUUUAUUUAUAAAACAUUUUCUUUUUCUUUUCUUUUUUUAAUUUUUGCGGCGGGGCCCGCAUGUCAGUGACUGGGCCUGCCCAGUCAGCACGUUGACUGGGUGGACCCAGUCAACGGGGCCCGUGGGGGCCACUGGCAGUGACCCAGGGGGUGGCCCCAGGUGUGCCACGUCGGCGGCCGGCGCCGGAGUAACGCCGGCGACCGAACGCACGGCGGCGCGGCUCGGGAGGAGUACGGGUUCCGCGUACAGGGGGUCUCCGGGGGCGUGGCUGGGCGCGUUCGACGCGGCUCGACGUCGCGCGUCCAACGGCGGUGGUCGGAGGGGCUGGAACGGCCGGAGACGAACGCUACGAACUCGCCGGCGGCGAGGAGCUACGGGUGCCCGACGGAAACAUAUCUACGGCGAGCUAACGAGAAAGCGGAGGGGCUGGGGGGCAUCUACAAAUGGCGAGGAGUGCAAUGGGCUUGACCCCGUGACCAUUUGGUCACCGGAGACCCGCCGGCGGCGAGCUCCGCGGCGCGGCGUUCGGGCGCGCGUGGGGAAGAAGCUAGGGAGCACGGGCGAGCUAGUGGAGAGGGGGAGGAGGUAGAGGAGCUCACCGCGUGGCGCAAGAAAGGCCCGUGGGUGGCUUAGUAGCAGCAGGUCGUCGCCGGGGAAGAAGGGGGUCGCCGGCGUCCGAAGAUGAAGGCGAGCUCGGAGAGGUCGUUGUAGUGGCUCCGAGCUCCGACGGAGAGGCGGAGGGGGUGUAGUCGAGGGCGGCGACGUCGUACGACAUGGCGAGGUGGCGAGUGGGGCACGGGCCGCGUGAACGACGGGAACGGCGGCGAGCGCGUCGGGCGUGGGGCAGAGGAGAGCGGCGCGGAUCCGGGGGAGGGAAGAGAGAGGCGCGGGGGCCGAGAGGGAGAGCGGGGUGAGUGGGAGAGAGGCCCGAGGAGGCGCGGGGCUGGCGACCUUAUCCCCUCCGGCGUCGGUGCCGGCGAGGGGGUCGGGCGGCAGCGCGCCACUGUUCCGACCCGGUCGGGGGAACAGGAAGGGGACGCGGGGGGGAGGUGGGCUGGGCCGGGGUCGCGGCUGCGGGUGGCGGCCCAGCUUGGGCCGGGGUUCGAUGCAGAUGGGCCACGGGUCCAGUGGGGGGGAGGCCUGCUCCUUCUUUUCUUUUUCUCUGACUGUUUCUGUUUUCUGUUUUCUUUUUAUUUAUUUAUCUCCUUUUCUGUUUUAUUUCAUUUAAAAGUAUUUAGACAUUUUAUAAAAAUGUGUUUUCUCCACCAUAAUUACCAGUGUAUUAUUUAGCACCCACUGAACAUUUUUGUUUGAAUUUUUGAAAACUUUUAUUUUCCACUUUAAUUAUAUUUGAAGUUUGAACUAGGAGUUUGACAAGGGUGUGGUUCAAUUGUGAUCAAGCCCUAUUUAGCAACAUGAUUAGCUUAAUCACAGGGGGUUACUGUAGCAUGAUUCUCAGGGUGUUACAUCUAGGUACUUGAUAAUCGCUGGUGAUUUGUACCCCACAUAGAUGCCCAACUUCCUCUAUGGGCCCAUAGAUGUCCGCUGUGGUGGUGAGAUCGGGAUUUAUGCAGCACAUCCAAACUUACGCAGGUGGGAAAUACUAGGAGGAUUUGCACGUACCAAUUGCAGAAGGGAAGUAUUGUGAUAUGCAGUUGGCCUCAAUUGUAUCAAGUCAGCAUUGUGUAAAACAGCGUGACCCAACAAGAGGUUGGCAAGUUGCAAUUCGUCAACAAAGGUCUUGCAAUGAGUUUGAUCUUCUUAAUCAAUUAUUCAGCCAAACCAUUUUGUGUAUGGACAUAUGGAAUAGAAUGCUGAACUUCAAUCCCUAAAGCCAUGCAAUAAUCAUUGAAAGCACGGGAGGAGAAUUCUGCAGCAUUGUCCAUUCGAAUUGACUUAAUUCGACUUUCUGGAUAAUGGGCUUGUAACUUAUUGACAUGCCUCAUUAUCUUGGCAAAUGCAUGGUUCCAGCGGAUAGAAGACACACAUGUGACCAUCGUGUAGAUGCGUCAAUGAGAAUCAUGAAAUACCUGAAAGGUCCAAAUAAUGGUUUUAUCGGACCAUAAAUGUCUCCUUAAAUACGUUCAAGGAACUAAGUGGUUCAGCUUAUAUUUUUAGGUGCGAGGGCCUCAAAAUUAGAUUUCCCGUGGCACAAGAUGUGCACAUAAAGUCUAAAGAUUGAGGAAAUUUUGAUCAAACAAAUUAUGACCAAUAGAAUUGCUAGUAAUUUUUCUCAUCAUCACGAUUCCGAGAUGGCCUAGGCGAUCAUGCCAGGUUUGAAAUGUGUUAACAUUAUGAAAAAUUACAUUGUAUGUAACAUGUUCCAUGUAUUUGAUAUACGUAUAGUCAGGGGCGGAGCCCGCGUACAGCCGUUGGGUUCAACUGAACCCAAUGAGUCUUCCCUGCCACGUACAUGUUCAUGAGUCUUCCCUGCCACGUACAUGUUCAUGGGUACUCACUAGUAUGAAUCCAGUAACUUUUCAAGACUGAACCCAUCGAAAAGUAGCUACAACGCCACAAGCAAAGUCUUUUAGCCCAUUUAAAAUAUUCUAACUUAAUUAGCCCAGCCCAGAAGCCCAAAAGUUACCUUGAUUAAUUGAUCGAUUCACGAGAGCAACUAGUUAACGAGCGCUUCUUCGGGAGCCUCGCAACGAUCAGCGCCACUUGGCGCGCUCUCAGCCAUUCAUCACGUGUCGGGCUCUGGACGUUCCCUUCGGAUUUUGUUUUUUUUUUCACACGCGUUUUUGGCUUUUAACCGGGUUUUUUUUUGGUUUUCCCCCGGUCUUUCUUAGUUUUUCGAUCAAAAAAAAUUUGCGCAAAAAACGCGUUUCUUUUUUUUCCUUUCGCGAAAGUCAUGGUUUUUCUUCCGCGAAAGGCACAGUUGUGCUUUAGCGAGAGUCACGGCCGUGCCUUUUGGAAACGAAAAAAACGCGUUUUCUGUUUUUUUUUCUUUUGCGAGAGUCACGGUUUUGGUUCCGCGAGAGGCACGGUUGUGCUUUCGCGAGAGUCACGGCCGUGCCUCUCGGAAAGGAAAAACAAAACGCGUUUUCUGUUUCUUUUUCUUUCACGAGAGUCACGGUUUUGCUUCCGCGAGAGGCACGGUUGUGCUUUCGCGAGAGUCACGGCCGUGCCUCUCAGAAAGGGAAAAAAUACGUGUUUUCUGUUUUUUUUCUUUCUUGAGAGUUACGGUUUUGCUUUCGCGAGAGUCACGGCCGUGCCUCUCGGGAACGAAAAAAAUGUGUUUUCUGUUUUUUUUCUUACACGAGAGUCACGGUUUUGCUUCCACGAGAGUUACGGUUGUGAUUUCGCGAGAGGCACGGGCGUGCUUCUUUCUGAAAGGGAAAAAAACCAUGCUCCCUGUUCGGUUUUUUCACCCGAUUUUUUGUGAAAAAAAAGUUCGUGAAAACCUAUUAACAUGGGACCUAGUUUUGAAAAUCUCGACGCGAGCAAUCCAAUGGUGAAAACCGUUCGAGAUUUGAACGCACGGUUUAAGAGAUAAAACGUUUUGAAUAAAUGGAUCUAUGAAAAAAAGGAAAACUCCCAGGUGCACAUGCAGUGCGCCACUUGUCGCACCCUGGGGAAGUGGAGUGUUCUUUGCAAUAGUGAUUUCGUCGAUUCACAUGACUUGUGCGGUUUGUACGUACAUAUCCAGGAGGCCGCCGCAACUCCCCCAUCGAUCUCAUCUCUCGUCCCUCUGCCGAGACCUCCUAGCUGACGCUCGUUAGCGUCAAAUCGACGAGGUUUCGCGCAGGACGUGCGCUCUGAAUGGGCCGGCCCAUUCGGUGUCGUCAUAAAAAUAUCAAAAGAAGAUGUCCCAUUGAGGAUUCGAACUGACAACCCCACGAUCGCGAGUACCUGAUCUUUACCACUACAGCAGCUAACCGUUUGCCUUUAGAUGCCGCGCGAAACUUUAAGAACUAUAAAGGCAGCGGCACAAAAACAAAACAAAAAUCCACCAUUGAACAUUUUUCUGAUUUAUGCUGAAUAAUUUUUAACUACACUUUGAACUUUUUUGUGAUAUACGCUGAAUAGUCUUAUAUACACAAUGAACGUUUUAUGAUAUAUGAUGAAUAAAUUUUAAAUACACAUUGAACAUUUUCAUUAUAUACGUUGAACAUUUUUUAAAAUACGUUGAACAUUUCCUUAAUAUAUGGUGAACAUUUUGUUAAAUGUACGAUGAACAUUUUUGUAAUACAUAAUGAACAUUUUCUAAUGCGUGGAGCCUAUUUCAUAAAUAGAAUGAAGAUCUUCUUAAUAUACAAUGAACAUUUUUUUUAAUACACAGUGAACUUUUUUUAUGACACACAUAAAAGAGAAGAAAAAAAGGAAAAACCAAAGGAAAAUGGAACCAAAACAAAAAAACACUCUGAAAACCGGACAAAACAUUGAAAAAACGGAAUCAAAAAACCACAGAAAAACGAAAAAAAAACCGGCAGAAAACAGCCAAGGAAGAGACAGCGAACGAGGAACACAUGAAACCAGUACGUGAGCCGGCCCAACCAGAUGUUCCCCUCAACGAAGGGACGACCUUUUGACGCUAACGAGCGUCAAAUAGGAUCUGCCCCCUCUGUCGUCCUGUUUGUUCACUCCCCGAUCCAUCGCCAGAGUCGCCGCCGGCAAUGGCAUGUCCCAAACCAAAUUUGAGGUAUGGAAGAUUAGAUCACCAUGGCUUCUCUCUUCUUUGCACAUGUCUAAUCUAAUCUAAUCUAGUAGCUUAGUUCGGCAAUGGAUUUUGCCCUAAUUUUUCAAUUGCCUUUUCCUGAACUUUGUUUAAUCUAGGUAUGGAGUGAUACUCCAUAAAAGAGAAAUAGACCACCAAAUUCAGAUAAUGACUUCAAGGGCACUGUAUGUAAAGUCCACCAAAUGUUGUUGUUGAAGGUAGUCUCCCAAACUUUGUAUUCAUAGACAAACUAUUUUAUAUAAUUUUAAUUUACAAAAAUGGAUGAUCUUGGUCUUGAACUUCACACUUGUAUCAACAAUGUGUGAGUAGAUGAAAAGUUCGCCACUUUGCACAAGACUGCUGAUCUUGCUCAAUUACUCAUGUAGACAAAUAAGCAUAUUACUUUUCUUUGGUGUUCAACCUCUGAAACUAGUACUGAUAUUGCUCAUUGCCACAACAUAUGUGGACAUAUGCUUUUCAAUUAUGAAUGGUAUUAAGAAACAAUUGCACAAUAAAAUUAAUUCAUGAGUGAACGUUUAAUUUCCAUGUGAAGAAAGGUAUGUUUUUAGCUACCAUUGAUAAUGAUGAUAUGUUUUCUCUGAAAUGUGAGCGACUUUACAUUCUUCUUUAAUUUUUAUGGUACUUUUUUUAUAAAUCUCAAAGUGACUUGUCAUUUUUUCGCUUCCUUCAGGAAGAUUAGAAGUUGGACCUGUAUCUAUAAAACUAUUUUGGUACUGCUCAAUAUACAAUAUGUAAACAAGUGCUUUUAUAACUUUGUCCAACAGGUAUGUCUUGCACUCUUCAGUUUUUAAUGCAACCACUAGAUGUGAUAUUGUAUUUCUUUUUUUAAUUUAGUAUGUUGUCUAUGAGCGUUAUACUCUAGUAGUAAAAUAAUAUGAAAUUGGCUUUACACUUGGUUAAUUCAUACAAAAUUGUCACAAUGACUUAACGAGUGAACCCAUUGGCCAAAUUUUCUGGCUCCGCCCCUGCGUAUAGUACAAACCAGACGAUAUAGAAGGAAUUUUCUCAUGUACCUUUUUGCCAUAUCUGUGAUCUUUAGUAAAGAGUACAUACUCCUCUUUGUUGUCUUCAUGGGUUUAAAUAUGAAAACCACAGGUAUCUUGAUAACUGAUCAGGAUACUUGAUGAGUCGGGAUACAAUAAAGUAUCCUCAAUCGUCACUUGUCUACCACUUGGGAGGAUGGAUAUGGCACGUUCAGUACCAACAAUCACUGUAUCGCGUCCAACGAUAGUUAGAAUAUCUCUAUUCAUCUUUUUCAGAGUUUGAAAAUAUCUAAUCUCCCUCGGUAUGAAGUUAGUGGUACCACUAUCCACAAGGCAUAAUUCCUCUUGCAUAGGAUUGUCCCCGUAGAAAAUGGCGGCGAGUGCUCCUUUUUCUUUGAGCAACCGGCAGGAGCUCUGCCUUUUCAUUAAGAAGAAGAGAAUUGACCAGUUUAUAAGGAAAACUGGCCGAAAACCGAUACAUCUGCGAUACACGCACAUGCCAGCCCCGAGGCUGCGCACCACUCGAGUCGACGACACUGUCACCCAAGUGACCAGAGACGACACCCUACAACAGAACACUGGGCUCCGGAGCCACCGCUUCGACAUCCACACCGGCCCCGAGGCCACGCACCAGCCUAGUCGAUGGCUCCGCCACCCUAGAGGCCAAAGCCAACACCCAACGCACACGAGAUCUCUGGCGCCGCCGCACCGACUUCCACUUCGGCCCCGAGGCUGCGAACCACCUAGUCGAUGACCAUGUCGCCCUGGCGACCAAAGCCAACCACCACAUGUGGGAGAUACCCGGAGCCACCGCUCCAACUUCCAUGCCGGCCCCGAGGCCGCGCACUCGCCUAGCCGACGACGAAGUUGCAAAGCCACAGGGCCACCGCCAGCAAAUGAAGGACCAGACCUCCAAAGGCGUCGCCCCCAAGAGGGAAGCGACGAGGAACGCCGCCGACGCCCACUUCGGCCAAGGCCGAAGUUUGGGUUUUCACUCGAAGAGCCCGUGGCUGAGAUGACGAGGGAGGUGAAGGGGCUCCACGACGCCGCCUCCAACAAGGGAACGACGUCCUAGGACACCGUCGACGCCGGAAUCGACUGAGGUCGAGCUAGGCUUUCACCCGGAGCUCACCAAACCCAUCUUCACCACAGCCAAUCACCACCGACAGUGGCCAAGCACUCUACACCGCUUGCCACCGCCAACCACCUCUUACACGGCAAGCAAAACCACCACGGCACCACGGGUCGUCAUGGCAGCCCAGCACCCACCGCCUAGAGCGGCGCCGCCACGCCGCCAUCCUCCCUCCUCGCUGCCGCAGCCAACGCGCCACAGCGCUGCCCGCAGCCCGCCGAACUCGAGGCUGACCACCACGCACCAGAUCCGGGGCAGCCUCGCCCGGAUCCGUGCCCCAGACACCGCCGGGACCCGCCAUAGGAGCACCAGCAAGCUGGGAACACCUCGAGCCGCACCUCUGCCGUCCACCACACACCAGAUCCGCGGGAGCCCCGCCUGGAUCCGCGCCCCGGACAGCCGCACCGCCACCAGCGCCACCAGCCACCACCGCGCCACAGCCGCCCGUCACCAGAUCCAGGCGGACCUCGAUCUGCAACCACCGGCGCCGGGGGCACGCCCCACCCCAGACGCAGCCAGCCACGCCACCAGAGGAGCCCGAGCAGCACCGCCGAAGGGUCCUCCGCCGCGCCACCGCCACCCGCGAGCUUGCCGCGCCUCGGACCAACGACCCCGGCCCGCGCCAGGACCCUGCACGCGAGGGGCGAGAAGACCCGCCGCCGCCGACGAUGGCAGGGCUUCGCCCGACCGCGUCCUAUGGCAGCGGCGGGGGAGGAGGGAGGGCGCGGGGAAGACUAGGGGCGGCGGCGGGUUCCUCCCCGUCGCCCACGGGAGCGACGCGGGAGGAAAGAGAUGUCUCAUGAUUUAUGGUAGCCCAUGUAGGAGAUAUGCCCUAGAGGUAAUAAUAAAUGUUAUUGAUUAUCUCCCUGUUCAUAAUUAUGUUUAUGUUCCAUGCUAUAACUGCUGUGGUUCCCGAGCCCGUAUAUCCAUAAAGGCUCUGGGGAGAACCCAUAUGCACGUGUGGAAUAAUAAACGAUAAAAUGUAUUCCUAGUCAUGCCUCUAAGACUAGCUCAAGUGUUGCAUGAUGAUUAUGUUUUCCCAAUCAUGGGCAUGUCUAUGCCAAGCAACUUUGAGGGCACAAUGUCAGGAAGGACAUUUGUGUUGAAUCGACCCGAAUUGAUGUUAUGCUAUGAGAUACAUUCGUCACAAGUUUAUUGGUACAUAACACAGAGAUGGUUAACGUUUGCAUGAUUCCUUAGACCAUGAGAGUAUCGAGUUUCUUCAUGCUUGCUUCAUGAACUUUGGGGUUUGUUAAACGUCAUCCGUAAAUGGGUGGCUAUUACGGCGGCUUACGGGUUCAUGGAAAAGUGUGUCAAGUAACUUGAUAGCUCAAGAUUGGGAUUUGCUCCUCCAACGAUGGAGAGAUAUCUCUGGGCCCUCUUGGUGUUACGGUAUCCAUCAUCGUCUGGCCAGACACUUUGUGAUUUGAUCACGGGGAUGCCGGAACACGAUAACGAGAAAAGAGAACAAUACUGGUAACGAGGUAACUAGCAUAGUGGACAAGUUGUUGAUCCACGGGAAUGCCAACAUGUCUCACCUCGGGUAUUUGUAACAUAUCGCGAAGCAACAGGAAUAGCACACGGCAACUGGAGGUUCACUCGAAUAUUUAUUCGUGUGGGUAUAGGGGUCAAUAUGGGUGUCCACGGCUCCGAUGUUGAUCAUUGAUCGGAAGGGGUUCCGGGUCAUUUCUAUACUUCACCGAACCUAUAGGGUCACACGCUUAAGGGUCAUCUAUCUGCUGAAUACUAGACAGGGAGUCUGAGAGAAAAUCACCGAAAAAGUUUCGGACAGCGGAAUCGUACCGCAGAGAGAGGUCAUCGGAUAAGUUUCGAUGAUACCGAAAAGUUGUUUCGGGAUACACCAUUAAGUCAAAUUGGUUUCGGCACAUGCCUGAUAAUUCUUGGAGGAUGCCAGAAUCAUUCUGGAAGCUUUUUGGAAUUUUCUGAGAUAAAAACCGGAAAUGUUCCGGAGCUGCCGGAGCCACUUCAGAUGCGUUUCGCAGAUGAAAAUCACUAAAACCGGAAUUGUUUCGGAACGCGUUGAAAAUCAUUUUAGUGGGUACUAGAAAUGUUCUUAGCCCACAUAAAUAUUUUCAGUUCGAUCAGACGCUGAAAAAUGUCAUCGUGAAUAGUGAAAAUCAGCUUUAUGGUUACUUUAUGGAAAGCCACCUUUUGGGGCUUUGCUCCAAAAGAUCUUGGGGAUGACAUGGAUGGAUAGGAGCCAUUUUUUGGGCCCCUCAUGGGGGUGUGGCCGGCCACAUGGGGUAUCCCCCCUUGGGGACCCUCUUGUUCCUUGGUUUCACUCCUAGGUCCUUGUGGAAGGACUUCAUUCAUGUGCAUUUUGGGUUUUUUGUGAAACUACCCUACCCCCUUGGGAUUUCCUAUAAAUAGAGGUGGAGGGGCAGCCCUCCACACUCAUCCCUUGCUCUCAUACACAUGCCAUGCAUUAUCUGGCUUCUUCUCUCCCUCCCACGAAAAGAGUUUCGUAGAGCCGUAAGGCUGUCUAGGUUCCGGCAGGAACUAGUUCUGGACGGCGAAGCCCUGCCGGAUAGAUGACACUGUAUGUGUGCAACUCUGUAGAGAGAUCGUAGUUUCGGUCUUAGUUCGUGAGUGCCUCCCGAAGGGCUGUCCGUGUGACCGUCCGAGUUUCGAAGGUCCUCCCGAAGGGCUGUCCGAGUGACCGUUCGAGUUUCGAAGGUCCUCCCGAAGGGCUGUCCGCGACACCGUCCGGGGGACUGUUCGACCGCCUCCCGGAGGGCUGUCCGAGGAGCAGAUGAGGGUAUACAUCCUCGCGGUUGGGAGGUUGUAAAUCCUAGCUGCGGGGAUCUGCACCGCCGAUCAUCAUCGACUCUACUUCCCGCUGCGCUACAAGUCGGUAACGAAAAAGAUCAAACCAUGUAUGCAGUCUCCAUAGUGGUCCUGGGCUGGUGCGUAGGUCGGAAAAUUUUUGUUUUCUGCUGCGUUCCCCGAUAGUGGCAUCAAGAGCCGUGCUAUGCGUAGAUGCAGGUUUCGAUCUAGAAUACAUGGAGAUGUAUGGGUAUUGCAUAAUAUAAUUAGGUAGUAGAUGAGAUCUAUUGCUGAAAAUUAUUUAUGCGGGUGACAGAUGAAAUCUGUUACCCGACGUUCUUGUUGCUUCCCUAGAAUUUGCGAUUGCUCAAUCUCGAGACAGCAUGGUGGAAUUUGACAAAGUUCUGGCAAUCCGUGAUCCUGAUUGAUCAUGGAAGUGCUAUCAGUUCUUUGGGUUCUGCCGUAGUCAAAAGAAAGAUGAAAUUCGCAGAUGAAAGGGCAUUGCAGAUAUUAUCUGCACGGGGGUCAUGCGUAUGACGAAGUUUAGUAUGGGGCUCGAGAUUUAAUUAUCUCGUGUUUCAUACACCCCGAGAUGUUAAUCUAGCAACUUGAAUAAUCAUACUUGAUGAUAAAAUGUUGGUAGCUGCGGUUUAAGUCAAAACCUUAGAAGCCACGUAAAAUAAAAUUUUGCAUAAACCGAUUAGAGGUGUCUAACUUGGUUUUGCAGGAUGUGCAUGUGAUGUGGUAUAGCAGUGCUCAUACUAAUUCGAUUAUGUAUGAGAUGACUAUAUGAUGUAAUUUGAUUAACAUGACCUGCGUGUCAUGGUUCGGCAUGAUGGCUGGAGCCAUAUGAUUGCACUUUAAUGACCUGCGUGUCAACCUUAAGUAAUGCAUUAAUUUUAUACGCUAUGGAGAUAGCAAUAUUAUCUGGUGCAUCGACAAGGUGGUGGCAAUCUUCGCGAAGGUGAACACCAACACGAAUGCCGAAGACGAAGAAAUGAAAUACUUCUCCGUCAGAAAGGGCUAUACCAUAUCAUGCUAUUAUGAAUUGCCUGAGAUGUUUAUCCCUUAUGUUGCACCCUUCUUGAUUGCGUGGUAGUCGCUUUUUGUUAGGGUGAUCUCUCACAAAAAUACCAAGUAGUUAGUGUUCUCCCAAGUGUAGCACCGUCACGGCACCUAUCUUUUCGGGGUGCGCCGUGUCACACGGGUACGAACGAUUAGAGAAGUGUGAGGCGGGUGAGUUGAGACCUCGCAGCGAGAUCACUUGGUUGUCUUGACGUUCAGGCAUGACCGUCAUGAGCUCGGAACACACGCAUCGAAAGAUGAACAAGAGUCACAUAGAGAUGUGAUUGGCAAGUUGGCCUACCGGUUGAGAUUUUUCAUCAUCAGUGGUGUUACACCAAUGGCGAACAAUUGAAAUGUGGGUCUUGUAUCACUCACAAUCAAUUUUGAGAGAUAUUGAUUUGAGUGGGAGCGCACUGUUGAAUUAACAUGUUUAAUUCUCAGUGCAAUUAAUUAUGAACACUGUCUAAGUGUUUCUUGCAAAAUAGUUGUAGAAUAAUGGCUCGCGUUUCCACCUUCCCUAUUAAAAUUGAAUAGCUGUUAAAUAUCUGGUUAAAACUUUACGAUUGGUAACGUAAUAUGAGGAUUGUCCUCAAAAGUGCCGAGAAGGACUUUGUCCUAUCGCAUGCUUUCCGUAUCCUCCCGCUCAUGCUAUGGAUCAUGUGACUCUCGUCCUUCGAUCCAAAAGCUAUAAUUCCGUUUCAGUCAAGUGCAAUAUGUUUGCUUCCAUAAAAACCAAACUUCAAAAGUUGGGAUAGUUAUAUGAUAUUCAUGGAACUGGAAAUUAUUUUCAGAUACAAACAAAGCAAUGUUUGUUUGCAAGUAUUAGUAAAAGUGUUUACUAUGCAUUUGACUGUUGGGAAAGGGAUCCAGAAGAACGCCUGUCAUAUAAUGAAAGGUGAAUAAAACAACAACUUAAAGAGAAAGGAAGUGUCCAAAGGGUGUUAGUAUGACUUACACGCCUAGGAAGUCCGGGGCUAACGCCACUCUUAAGUUGGGUGCUUCUUUUGGGAGUAGGAGAAAUACUAAAAGUUAAACUAUUAGAAGUAUAAAGGCAGAAAGAAAGAUGACUGGAAUAUCCAGCUCAUGUAUGAAUGUCAUACAAGUUUUUGAUGUAUAGUAGGCUGGUCAAAGAUAUAGUUCUUGGGAAUUAUGGUUAAACAUCCUAAUCACUAAUUAUUGGGUAUUGUGAGUUAAUCACAAAGAUACCCGCUCGAUUGCAUUCAAUUGCGAAUCACUGUAAGAGCUACUAUGGCCUAAAAAGACAAGCCAGAAAUGAGGUUAAGGUAUACACAGGGAACAUAGUAAAUAUUACUAUACCUUCCAUCGGUGUAUUGCCGUCUGUAUUUAUUUUCAUAAUUCAUUUAGAGUUUUACAAACUCUCGCCCAUUGCAUAAGGUAUCUUGCAAGAAGGUUGUUCAUAAGAGAACCUUUUAUGUUCGAUGUUAUGAAUAACACAAGGGCCAUACUUUCAUUAUGAAUGAGAUGUAUGUUAUGAAUAUUGAUAAUAAUACAAUACCUCUGGGUUUACUUUCAUAAUUCAUUUUAGAGUUUCAUACAUUCUAGCCCAUUGCACAAUGUUUGUUGCAAAAGAGUUGUUCAUAAAAACAACAAUUGUUGUUAAGUAUUAUGAAUAACAUGAAGGGCCAUGCUUCCAUCCAAGAUGGGACGUAUGUUAUGAAUAUUGAGGGUAAUAUGAUACAUCCAUAACACUAACGCUAAAUGUCGCAAGACUAAAAGAAUAUCACACAAGUGUGGCACUACAUUUGGUCACAUUGGAGAAACCCGCAUGGAAAAUUCCAUUAUGAUGGAUUUUGAAGUCUUUUUGAUUUUGAAUCAUCUGACACUUGCAACUUUCCUCCGAAAAGUGAAGUGACUAAAAUACCGUUCACAGGCCAUAAGGAACGAACAACAAACUUAUUAGUGAUCAUACAUUUGAUGUGUGUAGUCCGAUAAGUGUUGUUAGUGGUGGAUUUAUUUAUCUUCAGAAAUGACUCAAGUAGAUAUAUGGGUAUUUACUUGAUGAGACGUAAGUCUGGAUCUUUUGAAAUCAUUCGAAAGGUUUUCAAAAAUGAAGUAGAAGUUAUUGUAACAAGAAAAUUAUCUUUCUGCAAUUUGAUUGCACAAAGGAAUAUUUGAGUUACAUGUUUAGCGAAUGUCUGAUGAGUUGUGAAAGGGGUUUCAUAACUUGCACCUCCCGGAACACCACUGCAAGUGAAAAGUCCGUGGAGAUGUAAUCUAACCAUUUAUGACAUGGUAAGGUCAAAGAUGACAUAAAUAAAUUUGCCAUUAUCCUUUUUAAAGUGAUGCUUUAGAUAUUGCGGCUUUUACGCUGAAAAGAGCUACAUCGGGUCUGUUGAAAUGAAGCCAUGGUAUGGUACGCCCAACCAUGUUGUAUCUUUUUCUUAACAUUUGGAAUAUGGGGCUUGUGUAAAAGGUUACAAACCUAUUCCAAAUCAGACAAGUGCUACUUUGUAGGUUAUCCCAAGUCAUUGGGUAUUCCUCCCUCACUAUACCGAGGCAAAUAGGUUUGCCACAAAGAACGGUAUGCUUUUAAAGAGAAUGGUUCUUUCUAAAAGGUGAGUGGGAGAAUAGUGCAACUCGACGAGAUAAACAGUAUCUUCAUCAGAUCAAAGGAAAGAGACCUUGGAAGUAAUUCCAGAGUUUCCUACCGCGACUGAUAUGGAAGUCUCUACAAUAAAAUGUAUGAACUUCGGUCGAACUUGCAUCUGAACCACGUAGGCAAGGCUCGUGCAAACCUCUCAGGUGCGCAAACGAGAUAUUGUUGUUAGACAACAUUAUACCUACGAUACACAAGGAAGCGUUGAUGGGCCCUGACUCCAGAAUUGGCUAAAUGCCAAUACAACCCGAGUUAGUUUCCAUAUAAGUGAUUCAAGAUUAAAACCUUGAUACACCUUUCGGAAGACUUAGAGUCUAAUGAAUAUUUAUGGAACUUAAAACUGAUACGGAUAAAAAUGUUUUAUCCAUAAAGCUCGACUUGUUGAAAUAACAAGUUCAAGAGUUGACUACGAUGAGGUUGUUUUCAUCGUAGCGAUGCUUAAAGUCGGUUCGGGUUGAACUAGCCAUUAAUACAUAUUUCAAUCAUGAGAUAUGAAACAUGGAUGAUAAAAGGAUUUCCAUCUGAUGGAAAUGAAAGCUAGGACUUGUAUAUGAUACAGUCCAAAGUAAUUUGUCGAUCCAGAGGAUGCUAGUAGGUAUGCAAACUUCAGAGUUCCAGCAAUGGACAGAAGAGAGCAAAAUGGAGUUGGAAUCUUCGUGUUUUGAUGAAAUGGUCAAAGGGGUUUUGACUUCAUCAAUGAGUAAACGAAGAUGCUUGUAAUUCAAGAAAGUAAGUGGGAGCGUAAUAAUAUUUCUAAAAACCUUAUGUGCUUGGCACAUUGGUAAUUGGAAAUAAAUUUCUUGACACAAAUUAGGACUUCAUUUGAAAAUAGUUUUUCGAUGAAGUGCUUAGGCUAAAUAGCCUUAAUAUUAGGCAUGAUGAUCUAUGGAGAUAGAUUUACCUAAUGGGGCUAAGCAAUGAAUACAUAUUCACAAGAUGCUAAAACAUUUUAGCAUUUAAAACGCCAAGGAGUGAUUCUUGCCAAAGUCACAUGGAAAGAGUUUUUGCAAGACUCGGUGUCCCAAAACACUGAUGAGUAAAAUACAUGAUGCAGAUUCCACACACUUUUGUGUUUGGAUUAAUCAUGUAUUCCAUGGUAUGUAAAACAACCAGAUAUGUCCGAUACUCCCAAGGUGUUGCGAGUAUGGAUACCAAAGUGAUCAAAUUACUGAUCAUGGGACAAUAGUGAAAGAUGUCACACAGUACUAGAGUAAGUACUGAUGACAUGGUUUUCUCGCAAGCAAAGAUCAUGAAGAGUUCGUUGUAAAAUGUUACGUCGAUACAAUCUUCAUCUUUUCUCCAUGCGAUUUUCGAUUUAAAUUAAGGGUUUUGUGUAACACACAAUGUGGUGGCACAGUUAGUUGGAAUUUGUUCAAACUAGUUACUGUGGCGAAUUCUAUAACAGGGGCUAAGUAUGUUGACGCUUUAGAAGUGACAAAGAAGAUGUUGAAUCAUAUAGUUCAUUCAUGAACUUAGUAUAGUUCCAAGAUGGAUUUGCUCCUCCAACGAUGGAGAGAUAUCUCUGGGCCCUCUCGGUGUUACGGUAUCCAUCAUCGUCUGGCCAGACACUUUGUGAUUUGAUCACGGGGAUGCCGGAACACGAUAACGAGAAAAGAGAACAAUACUGGUAACGAGGUAACUAGCAUAGUGGACAAGUUGUUGAUCCACGGGAAUGCCAACAUGUCUCACCUCGGGUAUUUGUAACAUAUCGCGAAGCAACAGGAAUAGCACACGGCAACUGGAGGUUCACUCGAAUAUUUAUUCGUGUGGGUAUAGGGGUCAAUAUGGGUGUCCACGGCUCCGAUGUUGAUCAUUGAUCGGAAGGGGUUCCGGGUCAUUUCUAUACUUCACCGAACCUAUAGGGUCACACGCUUAAGGGUCAUCUAUCUGCUGAAUACUAGACAGGGAGUCUGAGAGAAAAUCACCGGAAAAGUUUCGGACAGCGGAAUCGUACCGCAGAGAGAGGUCAUCGGAUAAGUUUCGAUGAUACCGAAAAGUUGUUUCGGGAUACACCAUUAAGUCAAAUUGGUUUCGGCACAUGCCUGAUAAUUCUUGGAGGAUGCCAGAAUCAUUCUGGAAGCUUUUUGGAAUUUUCUGAGAUAAAAACCGGAAAUGUUCCGGAGCUGCCGGAGCCACUUCAGAUGCUUUUCGCAGAUGAAAAUCACUAAAACCGGAAUUGUUUCGGAACGCGUUGAAAAUCAUUUUAGUGGGUACUAGAAAUGUUCUUAGCCCACAUAAAUAUUUUCAGUUCGAUCAGACGCUGAAAAAUGUCGUCGUGAAUAGUGAAAAUCAGCUUUAUGGUUACUUUAUGGAAAGCCACCUUUUGGGGCUUUGCUCCAAAAGAUCUUGGGGAUGACAUGGAUGGAUAGGAGCCAUUUUUUGGGCCCCUCAUGGGGGUGUGGCCGGCCACAUGGGGUAUCCCCCCUUGGGGACCCUCUUGUUCCUUGGUUUCACUCCUAGGUCCUUGUGGAAGGACUUCAUUCAUGUGCAUUUUGGGUUUUUUGUGAAACUACCCUACCCCCUUGGGAUUUCCUAUAAAUAGAGGUGGAAGGGCAGCCCUCCACACUCAUCCCUUGCUCUCAUACACAUGCCAUGCAUUAUCUGGCUUCUUCUCUCCCUCCCACGAAAAGAGUUCCGUAGAGCCGUAAGGCUGUCUAGGUUCCGGCAGGAACUAGUUCUGGACGGCGAAGCCCUGCCGGAUAGAUGACACCGUAUGUGUGCAACUCUGUAGAGAGAUCGUAGUUUCGGUCUUAGUUCAUGAGUGCCUCCCGAAGGGCUGUCCGUGUGACCGUCCGAGUUUCGAAGGUCCUCCCGAAGGGCUGUCCGAGUGACCGUUCGAGUUUCGAAGGUCCUCCCGAAGGGCUGUCCGCGACACCGUCCGGGGGACUGUUUGACCGCCUCCCGGAGGGCUGUCCGAGGAGCAGAUGAGGGUAUACAUCCUCACGGUUGGGAGGUUGUAAAUCCUAGCUGCGGGGAUCUGCACCGCCGAUCAUCAUCGACUCUACUUCCCGCUGCGCUACGAGUCGGUAACGAAAAAGAUCAAACCAUGUAUGCAGUCUCCAUAGUGGUCCUGGGCUGGUGCGUAGGUCGGAAAAUUUUUGUUUUCUGCUGCGUUCCCCGAUAGCCCAAAAAACCGGCGAGUGCUCCUUCCCUCCCUUUCUUUCUCUGUUCUCUCUCGCUCUUCGCUGCUAGUUCUACGUGUGUGAUAACGCGUUUUGAGGCGAAAUGGAAACUUCUAUUGAUCAGGAGUUGCAGAUUACAAUUUAUACUAUCCGAAGAGUCACGACGCUAGGAAAGGAUGCGUCGGUUCCGGAGAGAGAAAUGAGAGGCAUCUAUUGCGGGUGUAACCGCACGCCGUUUGGGAAAGUGGAGAUUUUUCCCUAAUUACAUGUGCUAAUUAAUCACAACACGCCUUCCACGGCCAAAAAUCCUCGAUUUCGAGGAGCCCACCGCUAGCCCAGCCAGGUGGCACGGCUAGCGCGGAUACACCUCGCCUCACCAGUGGAUCUCGUGCUAUGUAUGCCUCCCCACGAGCACCACCUCUCACAAAAUCAUCGAAUCUGCGAGGCAACGCCUUAUUUCGUGCUGCCCCGAAGCUCAACAACCAUGGAUCCAUGCCGCCGCAAGCUUUUGACGGCCGACCCACCCCAAGCUCCUCCCACGCUGCCCGCCUGCCGGCUAGCCCUACCAAGGCGUUGCUCUCCAUGGUCUCCACGGGCUUGUGUGUUGGCACAGUGGUCGGCUGCGUUGCACCCCUCCAUCCAAUGAUGAAUCCGGCAGCCACAUCCUCUUACCCAUCAUCCUCUCCUGCUCCGCCACGAAGCACCACCGGUAGGCAUGAAAGAGGUCCAUCUGCGGCGAGGGCCUCGCGACCACGGCUUGCAGUUCGGGCGAGGACGACACAACUCGUAGGCUCGUUCGAUGCCUUGUCGUCCUUCCUCUACCUUGACACCGAGCAUGUGCGCCUCCACUCUCGAUGCAGUCGAGCAUUGAGCAGGAGGGCAAUGGCACCUACCGGAGUUGGCAUGUAACACCGGCGACCCCUGCUUCUGGUGGUUUGCAGGUGGAGCGCACUGUUGCUGGGGCGCUCGUGGAUCACCGGCGGCUGCGCCAGGCAAUAUGCAGUGUUGUUGGUGAGGCGUGGCACCCAUGCCACCAGCUAAGCAUACCGCGACCCAUCUUGGCGGGUGCUAUGUCCAUCUCAAUGGCUAUUGGUGCAGUACUCCAUUGCAGCAACCCCAUCCAUGCCACUAAUUCAUCAUCCAAGCCUCCAAGGCAUCAUAACACCAAUCACAUAAUCCCUCCGUUUGCUCUAAAAACUUAAUUUUUUUUAACGAAGGUUGUAGGUGUGAUUGGUGCUAUGAUGCAGAUCCAUACAUAAAAAAAGCAUUAAUGCAAGCUGUCCGAGCCGAUCCAUACAGAAAAAAAAAGCAUUUCAUUGGAAUGCAAGCUACUCAAAAUCAUCAGAGUAUUAAAUUUAAACCUAUCCACCCAACCACAGAAAAUACAAGCUAUGAAAUGCAAGGCUUUCAUAAAAUGGUUUGAUGGUUAAACAGGUUUUACCCAAGCAAGCAUCAAACAGAGUUUUUAUUUUCUUCUUGCAUUGGAAUAGAAGAUACGAUUGCAGAUCCAGGACCAAUAUGAUGAGCCAAACAGCAUACAAACAUUCUUCUUUUGUUCAUAAAAAAUACAAAGGACCUCAAUCAUAAUAAAAAAUUAUAUCUACCAACCCUCAGAGGCAGUCAUCAUGCAACGCACCACAGUUCAUCUACAGAAAACAGCAACAGCAUACAAAGCACAAGCAUAGGCAAGCUAGCAAUGCUUCCAUGAGUACCAUCACCCAACCAUGCAACACAAAAGCAAAAGCCGUAAUAUCUAGGAUGCCGGAUCAAAGUUUUCUAGCAAGCAUGUACACUAUUAUCUGCCUGUUAUCAAGCGGUAGACCAACCACCAUAUUCGUGCUCUGUCCAUUUCCGUACAUUCAGGCAGCAAUGAACACUUGUUCAACAUUGUUGAGGGGGCUUCCAUGCUCCACCAUUGCUUUUCAAUCACUAAAGACCUUCAAAUCACAUAUUAAGACUUCAAAAAAAAUCAACAUCUAAAUGAAGCACAUAAAAGGAUUAAGAAUGGAUGAUUUCAGCUUCAGAGAAUAAAACCUGGCAGGGCCAAAACCCAGGCAGCAACUGCGAAUGUUUGAGAAACAAGCCAAUACAAUCAAACAAGCAGCGAAGAAACAAGCAGCCUUAAAUUUGUCAUCACUGCCAUACCAUUUCCCCGGUUGAUUGAAUAAAAUUGACUAUCACAGGAACACAGAAGGCAUGGCAAAUGUUCAUAGCUAACAGAGACAUGGCAACAGUCCCAUUUACAUACAGACAAUUAGGUACUUGCAGGAAAAAACAGAGUAAUCAAAGAUUAAAGAGAAAGAAACCAGAAACACCAGCUGAACCAAACGGCGUUUAAAUGGGGAUUCCAGCCAGACCAAUUAACAACAGUUAUGAGGACACUUGCAGAGAAGAAGCAGCUGUUGCUUACAAUAUGAGAAGUAAAAGACCCAAGCAGUAUUAAACCUCAGAAAGCCGCAAAUAUAUCGUCAUUUGGAAUCUGACGGUAAUUCCAACAUAAAAGCUAAUCAUCAUAGGAUUCAAUUGCAUUCUGGAUCUAAUUUGGAAAACAAGCUCUAUCAUCAGAAUAUAAAUGCCUUCUCAUUCACAGGAAUCCAUUGAUACUGACCAAAUCAACAGCAGCAAAAUUAUCACUGGUGGAUUCAGAUGCAAAGAUGACAUCAUAUGGACAGUUUAGCCACCCUUGGAUCAAGUGUUGCAUCAUGCAUCAAUACCUCAUCACUAGACUGGAAGGUAAGAAGAAGCAAACAAUCAAUGAAAGCGAAAAGAGAUUAAGAUCAAGUUGCUCAGUGGUGGCAAUAUUUAAUUGGUUCGAUUCUGCCAGCGAUGUCGUCAAUGCUUUCAGAAGAGGGAGCUUGUUAUCCUCAUCGCAACUACGUUGCCCAAAACAAAAUCAAACACAAAAGGACAACGAAAAGAACAAUGAACGGCAGAGAAAAUUAGGUAUCGGAUGGCUCGGUUCAGCGGGAUAAUCGGCAUACAAAUCAACUCCUGAGAGAAAACCUGUGAUUUGGUCUGUUGAGCUUGAAUAUUUGCAAAUCGUCACUGCCAUCGCCCAAGAAAAAGAUCCAAGUAUGUAAACAAAACAGAACCAACUGGAAGACGUGACGGAAACAAAUUUGGGAGGGAUAAGUGUGCAGCAAAAUAUUGAAUCAUCAUCUACCGAGUCAGAUUCAGAAGUAUGUCAAUCAGCACAGAUCCAACAAUGCAGACCUAAGACUGGGGCGACAAAUAUGAAAUCAUCAUCCUCAAACUUUUUCUUGCAAUCAAAACUGAAUUUACAAAAUCAGUUAACAAAUCGCCAACAACAAUACAAGUAAAUCCCAAAAACUAGAAAAUGAUUAAUCUUUCAUCAUCUCGUUUCAGACUCGGUUCAGUAUAUAGGCCAUCAUGUUGGCAAAUCAAACCAAUAGGGAAAUUAAUCUUUCAUCAUCUCACCUCCACUGAUUAAAUUAGAAAAUGAUUAGAUUAAAUUAGUCGUCAUGGAACAUAGCAAAGGAUACAAUGAUAAAGCAAGGACUUAAUCUUGGAAGCAAGAGAAUGAUCAGACUCGGUUCAGUAUUUUAGGCCAUCAUAUCAGCCAAUCAAACCAAUAGGGAAAUUAAUCUCAUUCAUCAUAUCAUCUCUGGCCUGCUAAACACAAAAUUAAAUAUAUUUUUUAAAAGGAAAGUACCAGCAAAGAAAAAUACAACAAUGAGGGCAGAUGCAUCAGAUCUCCAAGGUGAAAGAGUGUGACAUCACAGAAAUGCCUCAGAUGCAAAUUAACCAUAAACUCAUGUAUCCUCAUCUGCAUCGACUAUGCCCAUUCCACUUAGAAAACAUAGUUUUUAUAUCUGAAUUGAUCUAACAUUGCUUGUUUGUGUUUUCAACGGCACUAAAAUCAUUUUUUGUAUCAUUCUACAACAAACACCACCAUAUCUUUGAAACCGGAAAAGCUUAAAACAAAUUCAUUUCUCUUCAUGUCAAAGAAGGCAGGAUGAUCAGAUUCGGUUCAGUAUUUAGGCCAUCAUGUCAGCCAGUCAAACCAAUAGGGAAAUUAAUCUCAUUCAUCAUCUCAUCUCUCGCCAUUUAAAACCCAAAACAAAAGAUUUUUGAAUUAAAAAGGAGCGAGGGGAUGCAUCAGAUCUCCAAGGUGAAAAAGAGUAUGACAUCACUGAAAUGCCUCAGACGCAAAUUACCCAUAAACUCGUGUCUCCUCAUCUGCAUCAACAAAGCUCAUUUUCAACAACAAAAAGAAACUGACCAGCAAAUUAAAAAAGAGAAACUCAACAAACUGGCAAAGUUCUCUUUCUUAAUACAAAAGUAUGGGGUAUGAUCAGAUAGAGCUAAUACAUGAUUCAUUGGACAUCAUAUCAUCCAUCAACAAUGUAAUUAUAUCCUCAUCUCACCCAAAUGAGUCAAAGAUAAGAAAAAAAUGAACAAGGGAAAAGGAUAUUAUCAAGCAUGCAUCAGAUCUCCAAGGUGAAAAGGGUGUGACAUCACAGAGAUGCCUCAGACGCAAAAUACCCAUAAAACUUGUGUCUCGUCAUCUGCAUCAACAAUGAUCCUCCAAGAAACAGCA